AAUAAACGUAUUUUAUAUAAAUUAUAUUCCACGUAUAAUUCUCCUAAUUUUGUUAGAUUAGUAAAACUACUUUUUUUAAUUUAUUAUAAUCCCAAAAAAUUAUAAAAAUUAUUUUUUUGGCAAUUAUAUAACGUUACGUAUUUUUUUUUUAAAUAAUCGAUAUUCUGUCGGUCGGUGUUUUUUUAAACGAAUAUCGUUAAAAGGCGUAUAACCCCGCCUGGCCUCCCUAAUACCGGCCCAAUUAUUUAAUCGUAAUAUUAAAUUUCUUUUUUGGCCAAAUUUGUUUAAUUUUAAAUAAUUUAUAUUUUUCUAAUUCCUAUUUUUAAUUUUGUUUUUUUUUGGUUAAUUUUUUUACAUUAUAUUUAAUCGCGUAACCAAAUCGAGAUUUAAUUAUUUAUCGACGGAACGUCGUUUCCCCCCUUUUUUUUUAACGUCCGCAUUGGAAAUAUUUUUUUAUUUUUCGUGUAAAUUACGUGGGGUGGCCAAAUAUUUGGUUUCGCUUUACAAUCUUUUUCGUUACGUGGAAUAUUUGCGUCUUAAUUAUCCUGGUUAUAAUAUUUUAAAUUCUUUUUCCGCGAAAGUUCGAAAUAUUGGUUUCCAAUACGCCCAAAUGGAAUUUAAAAUACAAAUUGCGGAAAAAAAGCGUCGUUAGAUUAAUAUAAAAAUUAAACGGUUCCGAAAAUAAAAACGGAUAUAAUUUAAAAAAAUAAUGCAAACCGUGUUUCGCGAUAUUAAUAAUUUGGAAAAAUUGGAUCAUAUAAAAUAAAAAAAACAAAAUAAAAAAAACGGCGGCGAUCGGCCGAAAUCUUUCCUAAAAUAUUUUUUAAAUCGUUUUUUCCGCAUUUUAAUUUUAUUUGGGAUUUAAUUUUCCCAAUAAAUUUUUUAAAUUUUGUUUUAUAAAAUAAAAUAAAUAUUUUUCGGUAAUAUUAAAAUUGUAAAUUAUUUUAUUUAUAUAUUCCGGUUUAUAAUAUAUAUUAAUUAUAUUUUGGUAGAUUUGUUUAAUAAUAAAAUAUCGAAUCCUGGCCGGUUUUUAAUUUUUAAAAAGAAUCAAUGGUGUUUUUUUAAAAAAAAAAGAUUUUGGUUAAUUUAUUCGUAAAUUUAAUUUCCAAUAAUAUUAACGGAAUAAUUUUUGGUAGUUUUAAAAACAAUUAAAUAAUUUUCAAAUGAUUUUUUCAUAUUUAUAAUUUUCCUAUUUAAUAAAAUAUUUUAUUUUGCCGUAAUUGCGUUUAUAAUUAAAUAAUCGUUUAAUUUUAUAAAUUUUUUUAUGCUAAUUUUAAUUGUUUUUUGCAUAUUAAUAUCAUAUAAUGCUAAUUUUCAUAAUAAUAUAUAAAACGUGGGGUAAAGCUUUAUAAUAUUUGUAAUAAUAAUUUAUAAAUGGUUUCGCUAAUGUUUUUAUUAAUUUUAAAAAAUCCAAAUUUUUGAAAAUUAAAUUUGCUAUUUAAUCGUUAUAUUUUAAUAUAAUAUUAUAUAAAGUAUAUAUUUUUUUUUUUAAAAAA
rnacentral:sRNA from 1 species